AAGAAGGAUGAAUUGGAACGUGUUGCCAAGUCCAACCGAUAAACUAUUUACUGUGCUUUCUGUGAACAGGAAAAUAAACUGUCAGGCU
rnacentral:misc_RNA from 1 species